rfam:Brachypodium distachyon strain Bd21 chromosome 5, whole genome shotgun sequence.
UUAAUAAUUCCUCCGUCAAACAAAAGAUGUCUCAAGUUUGUCAAAAUUUGGAUGUAUCUAGACAUGACUUAGUGUAUAGAUGCAUUUAAAUUUGGUCAAAGUUGAGACAUACUUUGUUGAACAGAGGGAAUAUUUU